rnacentral:rRNA from 1 species
CCUACGGAAGGCUGCAGUGGGGAAUAUUGGACAAUGGGGGGAACCCUGAUCCACCCAUGCCGCGUGUGUGAAGAAGGCCCUCGGGUUGUAAAGCACUUUCAGUGAGGAAGAACGCCUGGUGGUUAAUACCCAUCAGGAAAGACAUCACUCACAGAAGAAGCACCGGCUAACUCCGUGCCAGCAGCCGCGGUAAUACGGAGGGUGCGAGCGUUAAUCGGAAUUACUGGGCGUAAAGCGCGCGUAGGUGGCUUGAUAAGCCGGUUGUGAAAGCCCCGGGCUCAACCUGGGAACGGCAUCCGGAACUGUCAAGCUAGAGUGCAGGAGAGGAAGGUAGAAUUCCCGGUGUAGCGGUGAAAUGCGUAGAGAUCGGGAGGAAUACCAGUGGCGAAGGCGGCCUUCUGGACUGACACUGACACUGAGGUGCGAAAGCGUGGGUAGCAAACAGGAUUAGAUACCCUAGUAGUC